rnacentral:rRNA from 1 species
UACAGAGGUGGCAAGCGUUGUUCGGAAUUACUGGGCGUAAAGGGCGCGUAGGCGGUCUUUCAAGUCCCGUGUGAAAUCCCUCGGCUCAACUGAGGAACUGCACGGGAAACUGUUUGGGCUUGAGUUCGGGAGAGGGAAGCGGAAUUCCGGGUGUAGCGGUGAAAUGCGUAGAUAUCAGGAGGAACACCGAUGGCGAAGGCAGGUCUCUGGGCCACUACUGACGCUGAGAAGCGAAAGCAUGGGGAGCGAACAGG